rnacentral:rRNA from 1 species
GACGAACGCUGGCGGCGUGCUUAACACAUGCAAGUCGAACGGAAAGGCCCCUUCGGGGGUCCUCGAGUGGCGAACAGGUGAGUAACACGUGAGUAACCUGCCCUUGACUUCGGGAUAACUUCAGGAAACUGGGGCUAAUACCGGAUAGGAAUCCUUGCUGCUUGGGGUGGGUUGGAAAGCUUCGGCGGUUUUGGAUGGACUCGCGGCUUAUCAGCUUGUUGGUGGGGUAGUGGCUUACCAAGGCUUUGACGGGUAGCCGGACUGAGAGGGCGACCGGCGACAUUGGGACUGAGAUACGGCACAGACUCCUACGGGAGGCAGCAGUGGGGAAUAUUGCACAAUGGGCGGAAGCCUGAUGCAGCAACGCCGCGUGCGGGAUGACGGCCUUCGGGUUGUAAACCGCUUUCAGCAGGGGCGAAGCUUGUGGUGACGGUACCUGCAGAAGAAGCACCGGCUAACUACGUG